AAUAGGCGCGCGAUUGCUUGGGUCGGANACGCUCCGCGACCCUAGGCAGAAUGAAAGUGAAGGCCGCCCUCUACGGGCCGAGGGAGGACGGGGGAGGCCCCCCCCGCACUCCCGGGGCGUCUGAUUCCUCAUCGCGAGGGAAGGCGCACCCGGAGCGCACACAUUGGGACCUCAAAGAUGGUGAACUAUAA
rnacentral:rRNA from 1 species